rnacentral:rRNA from 1 species
CAAUAGCGUAUAUUAAAGUUGUUGCAGUUAAAAAGCUCGUAGUUGGAUUUCUGAUCGAGACAUCAGGUCGGGUCCGAGAGGAUCAUGUACUUUGAUUUUGUUUUGAUCAUCCUUGGGGAGAGCAUUUCUGGCAUUCAGUUGUCGGGAUUGGGAUCCUCAUCGUUUACUGUGAAAAAAUUAGAGUGUUCAAAGCAGGCCUCGGCCUCUGAAUACAUUAGCAUGGAAUAAUAAGAUAGGACUUUGGUGGUCUAUUUUGUUGGUUUGCACGCCAAAGUAAUGAUUAAUAGGGAUAGUUGGGGGUAUUCGUAUUCAAUUGUCAGAGGUGAAAUUCUUGGAUUUAUGGAAGACGAACUACUGCGAAAGCAUUUACCAAGGAUGUUUUCAUUGA